UUUCAUAUUGCUUGAUAAACAUGGUGGCCAGGGCCAUUCAUUUCCUGUUUUGUAGGUAUCUUCAAAAGAUUUUUUGUGGAAAUUGCUAGAAUUUGUCUUUUGCGCAGAGCCAUGUUUUAGUAGAUCUGGGAGUUUGUCACUCUAAAGUUACCUCCAAUUUUGUACUUGUGUUAGAUAUAUGGUUAUGAUGCUUUCUUUCCCAGACAUGUCAAAUGGUUAAGAAUCAUAAAAUGGAAACGUUUUGUUGGUAACUAAAAUCUGACAUAAGAUACUAUAAAAUCCAGUGGUCUCUUUGAAAGGAAAUGGACGGUAUCUAACCACUUAUAAAUAGAGUAAUUUUUAUAGCAAGUUUGAUAUGUGUACUGCAGGAGACUGAUAAUACCAGAGAUCUCAACCACUUCUUAUAAAUAGAGUAAUUUUUAUAGCAAGUUUGAUAUGUGCACUGCAGGUGACUGAUUAUACAAGAGAUCUUGAAGAAAUGCAGAACGUUUCGAGAGAAGAAUAUCUUGCGUCUUUGCGCCGGAAGAGCAGUGGGUUUUCAAGAGGAUUAGCAAAAUAUCGUGGACUCUCAAGUCGAUGGGAUCCAUCAUAUGGCCGAAUGACUGGAUCGGAUUACUUCAGUAGUAUGCAUUAUGGUCCCGGGGAUGAUUCAGUUGCAGAAAGUGAAUACGUUAGUGGUUGGAGUUGUUUUUAGUUUGAGUCUCCGUAGAAGGGCUUCUCAUGUAGAGUGUCCAGUUAUGUGUGGAAGUCUUCUUAGCAGCGGCAAACAGCAAAUAGGAUUUCGGCUCGAUGCAUAAAUAGUGAAUCAAGAAUAUGUUUGGUUCCCUGGCAGAUUUAUUUUGCGUAGUGGUGGUUCAAAUCCCGUUGGUUUUUCAUCUGUUAGUUUUUGUGUUGUUAUUUCAGGAAUGCAGUAACUUAAGGAUGUUACAUUGUUGUAAGGACAGGUUCAUCUCAACUGUUUUGUAUUGCACUAUAUUAAGAUGUUGAUUUGGUUGUGUUUUUGGAUUGUUUUAUUGACUGAUGAUGAUGCUGGUUUUAGGGGAAGGAUUAUUAGUUCAAGAAGGUGAAAG